rnacentral:rRNA from 1 species
GACGAACGCUGGCGGCGUGCUUAACACAUGCAAGUCGAACGGAAAGGCCCUGCUUUUGUGGGUUGCUCGAGUGGCGAACGGGUGAGUAACACGUGAGUAACCUGCCCUUGACUUUGGGAUAACUUCAGGAAACUGGGGCUAAUACCGGAUAGGAGCUCCUGCUGCAUGGUGGGGGUUGGAAAGUUUCGGCGGUUGGGGAUGGACUCGCGGCUUAUCAGCUUGUUGGUGGGGUAGUGGCUUACCAAGGCUUUGACGGGUAGCCGGCCUGAGAGGGUGAACGGCCACCUUGGGACUGAGAUACGGACCAGAAUCCUACGGGAGGCAGCAGUGGGGAAUAUUGCAGAAUGGGCGGAAGCCUGAUGCAGAAACGCCGCGUGCGGGAUGACGGCCUUCGGGUUGUAAACCGCUUUCGCAUGUGACGAAGCGUGAGUGACGGUAAUGGGUAAAGAAGCCCCGGCUAACUACGUG